UACGAAGGGUGCAAGCGUUAUUCGGAAUAAUUGGGCGUAAAGGGUGCGCAGGCCGUUUGUUAAGUCAACUGUUAAAUUCUUCAGCCUAACUGGGGGUCUGCGGUAGAUACUGGCAAACUAGAGCAUGGAAGAGAGAAGUGGAAUUCUCGGAGUAGCGGUAAAAUGCGUAGAUCUCGAGAGGAACACCAAUGGCGAAGGCAGGUCACUGGGCCGCAACUGACGCUGAGGAGCGAAAGCAUGGGGAGCGAA
rnacentral:rRNA from 1 species